CUCCAACGGCGUCUGCCAGCUUCUCUGUCAGCACGCCUGCACCAGCUCACAAUAAUGGCUGCCACCAAUGUCUCAGUCCCUAGAGAAGUCUCACCUCUAACUGAGAUUCACCCAGAGCCUAUCAGAGAGAAGCAGCUGCCUCCAUCCCUCCGAUUUUCUCUAGCAGUCUAGACAACCUAUGAUGCCCAGAAAUUUGGACUGCUGUCUGCAAGUGGAAAGACAAAGCUACACAUCGAUUGGGCGGUCAUGACAGCAGUUGGCCAGCUGCUGGUCCAUCCACAAGUCUUACAACAAUCCAACAGAUUCUGGAUGAAAUUGAGAACUUCGGGAACUCAUAUGCAAUCAGAUCCCAAACAGAUGGUGCUCAUCACCAUGAUCCUGGUCCAGCUCAAGACAUGAUAUUCAAAGCCCCAAGAUGUAGCUGUAAUUAAGAGGUCCAGAUGCAAAUCCCAUCAUCCAAGAGAUUUCCUCAAAAUAUGGAAUAAUGUGGAAAGCCUUUUUGAAAUGGCUGGGCAGAUGGCAGCGAGAGGACCUGGGCUGUGCAAGAGGCCAGUGGCUGCGUUCCUCAGCACUCAGGAGGAUUUCAAAGUGCCCAGGACCUGAGCGCCUGGGCCCUUCCAGGAGCUGUUGCCACGUGGAGACCACAAACUUGCUCCUGUGCUCAGAACUGCAGCUAUCUCUUCAUAAGCCCAUGCCCUGGGGCUUGGAGGAUGAAAACUGCUCCCCAAGAUGCCACCUUUAAAAACAGAAUGAAGCAUCUGCUCUGACAGCCUCUGGCUUGUUGGUAGCCUAUCCUAGUGGAAACAAGGAGUUGUUCUAACUUACCUUAGAGCAAAUCCCUGGUUCUCAACCCGACUGUUCAACCCUGGGACACUGAAAGAAAUACAGAGGCCCAGGCCCCACCUGGGCCUGCUCAGCCCAGCUCUCUCAGGUCAGGUCCUUUCAUGAUUCAGGUGAGCAGCCCAGGCUAGGAACUACGGGAAUCGGCUCUCGGAUUAGAAGUGAGGAUCUUCCAUUUUCAGUACGACAACCGGCCAUUUCUACACCAAGCAAGCAGAGGAUUGCUCAGCUUUUGCACUGCUGUCUUCUCAAGAACAAGUCAAGGACCACUGCAACAGCUUGGAACCUGGGCAUGAUUUCCUGGGUGAGGAGCAUUGCUCCCUGAGAGCAGGGUCAGCAGAAAGAGAGGUCCUGGCUCUUUUACUUGGUGACAUCCUGCAGUGAGCACAGCCCUAGUGAAGGACUGGUCCUAACCUUGACUCCCCCUGGUGUAAACACCUUGAAAUAUCCAGAGAAUGGGGCACAUCAGUUAAAUCAGUUGCAUUUAAUGGGCCUUUGCCGGCAGUGAGCUCCUGGGUUUCCCUGCGUCACUUCAGUGCCACCUGCGUGAAUGAAAGGCUGCCAAGUUAGACCUGCCCGUUGAAUUAAACCCGCAAUCUCAUUCUUCUCAAUAGCUGUGUCCUUGUGAUGCUUUGCCCUAUGCAGGCUAACCCUAGGAGCCCAGUAGGAACUCCUGUUUCUGCAAUGCCAAUUUGCCUAGGAGGUUGGGUGUACCAGCAAAAAUCUGUCUUUGAUCGCCAGAUAAUUCAGAUAGGCACAUAUAAUUGUAUAGAAACCAUUUCCUUCUGGCAGUGGAUUGUAGAGGGGAACAUUCUGGCUAAGGAGCUAUGAAACUGUUGGCUGCAGUAUAAAUGAGAUUCCACUCUGAGUUUGUGGUGACAAGCGACCUUUUCUGACCUGUAGCCCAUGCAGCAGUUAUCUCUUAAAUUUGAGCAUUUGACCCAGAAGGUAGUUCUCAUUCCUUCAAAUCCAUGGACUCGUGGUAUACGGGCCUUCACAUUCUGGUUCAGUGCCCUAGCUUUACCCCCAAGAGAGUGAAAACUUCAAGAGUUUGUCAGUGAUUAAAAUACAAGUACGCAUGCAUGCACGCACACAUCUUAUUUUCAGACUCCUAUGACACUGUAAUGCUUCCAAACUGAUGUCGGAAUCUAACUAAAUGAAAAUAUUUGUCAUCUGUCGUGUAGUAGUCAGGAUAGAGUAGGAUAGGAUGUCGUAACAGAACCCCUCAAAACUCAGUGGCUUAAACCUCAAAGCUUUAUUUUUCAAUCACCUUCCAAGUGAGUGGCAGAGAGUUCAUUCUUCAUUGUUACUCAAGAACUGAGGCUGCUGGAGGCACCACCAUCUUGACGUGGAGUAUUUGCCACUGCGUUGGGCUCUCACACCUUCUCAGUGUCAUUCGGGAAGCCACGUUCAUCACUUAUGCUCUCAUCCCACUGGAAAGAACUGCACAGGGGCCCUGGUUGCAGGUGGUCCAUGGAUUUGAAGUUGUGCUGAGGAAGAGAGGAGAGCCGUAUGUGGUAUGCUGAACGACAUUGGGCAGAGGAGAAAGCUUUAAAGCAUACAUGUGCGUUGCUGUUGAAGUUUCUUCCUGACAUACAUAAAUGAAAUCAGAGAAGAAGGAGGCGAGCCUGUGACACUUCUGGGACCUCAUCACUUUCAUUGGACAGAAAAGGCUCUGCAUUCAACCAGCAGCUCCAGGGGUUAUAAUCCAAAACAGCCUUUUAGACCUGGAACUUACAAUUUCCUUCCAAAUGACUGUGG
rnacentral:lncRNA from 1 species